UUCUCUACUAACUGUGUUGCCUUCCUUCUUUGGUGUAUCUGUUCUUAUUGUGUUUCCCCAACUGUAGGCUCUCUGCCGUGGAUAUCCUACCAAAUUUGCUUCUUACUUCCAUUAAUGUCGCUCACUGCGUUUCGAAGAUGCACCGGACUAUCAGUACCUGAAGAGAUUGUUCAGAGACCUUUUUAUUCGGGAAGGUUUUUAGUUUGAUUAUGUUUUUGACUGGACCAUUCUAAAGUACCAACAGGCACAGAUGACCACUGCUCCACCUCGUGCAAUUGUCUGUACAAGGAAUAAACUUACCCUCCUAACUUAAGUAGUAGUAGAGAUUGUAUUGCGUAUAGAAAUGUACUUCUUUUGUUAUGUUAUAUUUCAUUGCCCCCUCUCUAUUUUGAUUCCUGGCCUUGAUUUUUGUUUCUUGUAUUUUUUUCAGGUCGUCUAGCUACUGUAGUUGCCCAUCGUCAAAGUUUUGUAGAGUGGUUAGUGUUUUUGGUUGACAGACAUUGGUGCUAGAUUUGGGAUCAGCCUUCCUAAACAGUACCAUUUACUUCAGCUCAAUUAUAUGAAUAAUGCUUGUUUGCAGGACAUAUUGCUAAUAAUCUGCCACAUUAUGUUUGCUUGAGGUAUUAAUUUAUCCAGGUGUUUAAUGCUGGAGUACAGUUAGAAGAUCCCUAAUCAAUUGCUUCUCAUUUCAGUCGUGUAACUUUAUUCAUGCUACAGCAGCGACUUUGAGCGAACAUGAGACCACUGAGCUCUGGAGUGAAUGAAGGACGUCGUCUUUGGAAGUCAGACAUCACCUAGAGCUAGGGUGUCCAUUCUUGACAUGUUUCUCUUAGUGAUAGAUGGAUACUGUCUAGUUAGGAAUA